rnacentral:rRNA from 1 species
CCUACGGGAGGCAGCAGUGAGGAAUAUUGGUCAAUGGUCGGGAGACUGAACCAGCCAAGCCGCGUGAGGGAUGAAGGUACAGAGUAUCGUAAACCUCUUUUGUCAGGGAACAAAGGCGGGGACGUGUCCCCGGAUGAGUGUACCUGAAGAAAAAGCAUCGGCUAACUCCGUGCCAGCAGCCGCGGUAAUACGGAGGAUGCGAGCGUUAUCCGGAUUUAGUGGGUUUAAGGGGUGCGCAGGCGGUCUGUAAAGUCAGCGGUCAAAGCCCGGGGCUCACCCCCGGCCCGCCGUUGAAACUGGCAGUCUCGAGUUGGAGAGAAGUAUGCGGAAUGCGCGGUGUAGCGGUGAAAUGCAUAGAUAUCGCGCAGAACUCCGAUUGCGAAGGCAGCAUGCCGGCUCCACACUGACGCUGAGGCACGAAAGCGUGGGUAUCGAACAGGAUUAGAUACCCCAGUAGUC